CACGGGGCAAGGGGACAAUAAUUUCCCCAUUUUCAACCAAAAAGGGAGGAGGCAAAGCUGGAGCAUCGUUAGAGCCAACCGUCCCUGUUUCCCAUGCAAGAGGUGCUGGGGACCAGCUGGGGAAGAGGCAGGUGACACCAUCUCUGGUGGGAAGACACCUGUGGUCACACGUGCCAAGGUUGCAAUGCCCUCAGCGGAACAAGGUUUCAUUCUACACCAACCCCACCCAACAUCAACACCAUGAACGUUCUUCUUGUAUGUCCCAAUGCAAUUUGAUUUUAAUUGGCUUUAAUGAACUUCUUUCUCUCUAUCUACCCCACUUUGCUCCAAGAUGUCACCACUACAUCAAGAUUCAUCAGGGAAAAGAGUGUACAAGGCUGGAUGUGUUACAAGGGAAAAAAUCAUAAUAAUCAUAAUAAUCAUAAUUUUGCAUAAACAGCAGGGUGAGAUUUAUGCACUGCUGCUGACAACGAAAAUAAAUAAAAGGUUUCUCAUGUUCUAAAUAAAAAUUAAUCAUAACAAAGUUGAUGUUAAAGCAAGAAGAGACAGCAAGAGUUUUUUGAAACCAUAUUUUAAACAGGCAUGACCUACCCUAUUUCUGUAGUCAAGUAAAAAGAGAAAUAAAAACCUCCAAACAAAA